GGAUAGCUCAGUCGGGAGAGCAUGAGUCUCUUAAUCCCAGGGUUGUGGGUUCGAGCCCCACAUUGGGUGAAAUA